AUUCGAUGCAAGCGAAGAGCUUACCUACCCUUGACAUCCAGAGAAGUUGGCAGAGAUGCCUUCGUGCCUUCGGGAGCUCUGAGACAGGUGCUGCAUGGCUGUCGUCAGCUCGUGUUGUGAAAUGUUGGGUUAAGUCCCGUAACGAGCGCAACCCUUGUCCUUAUUUGCCAGCGAGUAAAGUCGGGAACUCUAAGGAAACUGCCGGUGACAAACCGGAGGAAGGUGGGGACGACGUCAA
rnacentral:rRNA from 1 species